rnacentral:rRNA from 1 species
CCUACGGGUGGCAGCAGUGGGGGAUAUUGCACAAUGGGGGAAACCCUGAUGCAGCGACGCCGCGUGGGUGAAGAAGCGCCUCGGCGCGUAAAGCCCUGUCAGCAGGGAAGAAAAUGACGGUACCUGAAGAAGAAGCCCCGGCUAACUACGGGCCAGCAGCCGCGGUAAUACGUAGGGGGCAAGCGUUAUCCGGAUUUACUGGGUGUAAAGGGGGCGCAGACGGCGAUGCAAGCCAGGAGUGAAAGCCCGGGGCCCAACCCCGGGACUGCGCUUGAAACUGCGUGGCUAGAGUGCAGGAGGGGCAGGCGGAAUUCCUGGUGUAGCGGUGAAAUGCGUAGAGAUCAGGAGGAACACCGGUGGAGAAGGCGGCCUGCUGGACUGCAACUGACGUUGAGGCCCGAAAGCGUGGGGAGCAAACAGGAUUAGAUACCCUUGUAGUC